rnacentral:lncRNA from 1 species
GACCUCUUCAAAUAUUGUAGCUCUCUAUUUUGCUUGUGUCGACCUUGAAUGAUCAAGACUUUCUGUGUUGCUUCCCUGCCUUUGCUAUGCUGAGAUACAGAAAACUUCGUUAGACUCUAUACUAUACGUCUGGAAGCAAUGUAAAGCAGCAAUGCUUCAGGUAUCUCUUAACAGUGGUGUGCCACGCCCAACAAUCUUUCCAAUCUGCAGAGAGACCAGAGCCAGUGAGAAUGGAGCACUUGAUGGAUUGACUGUUGAUUCGUUGCUUUCCUGAUUCACCAUUCCGGUUAUCAGGCAGCCCCCACGCCCACACCGACCUCUACUGAUCGGAGGAAACUUCCUCCCUCGCUUCAAGCGGAGCCACCUGCUACAGCAGACCUGCAGGAUGACAGAUCGAAAACAUGGAGACUCACCGUUUCGCAGCAUCGAAAUGGGCUGCAAGCGGGACAUAUGUCUUGGAAAGCGGGCGGCGAGUGGGAGAGACGACGGAGGCGCCUCAGUACCCGCGACGGUCUCGGCCCUACGCCCUCAAGCACCCCGACUUUAUGGAAUCUUCCAGGUACUGACCUGCAGGGAUUCGGGACAAUUUCCUUCUCCUCUUCCUUUUUCCCUCCGCCGCAGGCCGGCCCGCCCUCAGGGCAGUGGGGAGCUGGUACUCAGACGGGAACAACGACCAGGACAAGAAGGACUUCUGCACACGUCAGCUCUUGGUCACGUGAGAGCUACGUCAUCCACCAACUCGGGUCCCCAAUUUCCCCUCCCACCAGCAGUGCGGCAGAAGAGGGCCCGCCCCCCCUCCUUUCCCUCCCCCACACCAGGCCUUAUUACUCUUUCUUCUUCGAUAAUCUCAUCACCUUGUAGUUGUGUUUGCCUUCCACCGAUUACCAGAAAGGGACGGCAUCUUCCCCUGGGGCUAUGGGCCACUUGUACUUUUAUGAAAAAUUGCCUCUUCCUUCCCUAG